rnacentral:lncRNA from 1 species
GGAUGAUAGCAGUCUUCAGGUAUAGUGAGCGGGAGUGCUCGUGUUAAGAACUCUACGGUCGGAUCCGAGACAAAGCACAGAUCAAGCAAUCGACCCAAGGAGUUUUUUACAUAGUUGACUUGAGACAGGGCCCGGUCUAAUAAGCCAUCAAUAAACUCGUUUGACUCGUUAACCGAAGACCAGACAGUACCUGGCAGGUUGAAAUCCCAAAGAACUAUUAAAUGGUCUUUAUCAGAUAGCGAAGAAGAAACAGUUUGUAAGGCAGACAAAUGCUGCUCGUAUAUUAGUACAUCCGAAGUCGGUGGAAUAUACGAGCAAGUGACAUAAAUAGACUGGCCGGGAAGAAUCAGUCUAACACAGAGGAAUUCCAGGUCUUGUGAGACCUGGACUAGGAAAAGUUCUGACUUAAAGUAAGAGUUUACUGCAAUCAGGACCCCUCCUCCACGUCGAGAUGAACGAUCAUUCCUAUAAAUUGUGUACCGAUCUGCCAAAACUUCGCAACUAAGAAUGUCCGGCUUUAACCAGGUUUCGGUAAACACAAUAACAUGGGAUGAAAAUGUGAAACUAUCCAUAAAAAGAGCCUUGGAAGAGCAUUUUGGAAGAGCCAAUAGUCUCGAAAUGAGUUCGUAAACAAUGAAGAAAAAGAAGACAAUCAAAAAAUCGUGCGCUACACAACCUCUUUCGUCGACGUUUGGCAAACUACUGACAAGCUGGUGUUCCUCAAUGGCCUGGCCCAUGGUAGAAUUACUAAUAGGUAACGUCGUCAACUGAGUGGAGGAGCACCAGCUUAUUCAUCACGCUUGCUCGGCUCUCAGAGACAUGAAGAAACUAUAAGGAGGCCUCGUCGGUGGCAGAGUUACUCGCUGCUUUUUCUUUUGGUCAGUGCUCUGGAAACGGAAAGUUUAUGCAGUUAAGUCUAAAUAUG